GUGCCAGCAGCCGCGGUAAUACAGAGGGUGCGAGCGUUGUCCGGAAUCACUGGGCGUAAAGGGUGAGUAGGUGGCUCGUUAAGCGUGUGGUGAAAGCCUGGGGCUCAACCCCAGGUCUGCCAUGCGAACUGGCGAGCUCGAGCAGAGUAGAGGCGGGUGGAAUUCCGGGUGUAGCGGUGGAAUGCGUAGAUAUCCGGAAGAACACCGGUGGCGAAGGCGGCCCGCUGGGCUCUUGCUGACACUGAAUCACGACAGCGUGGGGAGCAAACAGGAUUAGAAACCCCCGUAGUCC
rnacentral:rRNA from 1 species